rnacentral:rRNA from 1 species
UACGAAGGGGGCUAGCGUUGCUCGGAAUUACUGGGCGUAAAGCGCACGUAGGCGGCUUCUUAAGUCGGUGGUGAAAUCCUGGAGCUCAACUCCAGAACUGCCUUCGAUACUGGGAGCUCGAGUCCGGGAGAGGUGAGUGGAACUGCGAGUGUAGAGGUGAAAUUCGUAGAUAUUCGCAAGAACACCAGUGGCGAAGGCGGCUCACUGGCCCGGUACUGACGCUGAGAAGCGAAAGCGUGGGGAGCGAACGAGGA